ACAGGUCUUAUCAAAUCUCUGCUUCACAAAAAGAAAUUGAUACCCUAGAGGAGGCUGUCAUCCCGUCAGCAGAAGCCCUCCAUUUACUGGAUUUUGGCUUCAGUGAUUUUGAUAUGUCCCAGACUGCCAUGACUCAGGCCGUUAAGUAACCAGCCUCUAGCACAGCUGUAUGGUCACUCAUCGCUGGAGCACCAUCAUUAUGACAUGUGCCUUCUCAUUCUCAACAACCCUGUAAGAUCCAUCUGUACAUCCAUCUACCUGUCUGUCUGUUUAUCCAUAACAUCUACACAUCAACCCAUCCAUAACAUGCAUCCAUUUAUCCAUCUAUCAAUGACAUUCAUCCAUCCAUCUUGCUGUCCAGUCAUCUAUACAGUAGUAUCGAUAUCAUCCAUCCAUCCAUAGCAUCCAUCCAUCCAUAUAUCCGUAAUAUCCAUCCAUCUAUCAUCUUGUUGUCCAGUCGUCUAUCCAUCCAUAACAUCUAUCCAUUCAUAGCAACAUCCAUUCACCCAUCCAUCCAUAACAUCUAUUCAAAAACCAUCAAUCAUGUUGUCCUGUCAUCCAUUGUCUCCUUAGAUUCCAUCCAUCAAUCUGUUUGUCCACCCAUCUAGCUAUCUAUCUGGCCCUCAUACAGUUAUGAAUCCAUGUCCAUGUACAACGGUUUCAUACCUCUCACCCUUCUUC